rnacentral:misc_RNA from 1 species
GAUGAAGAACGUAGCGAAAUGCGAUAAGUAAUGCGAAUUGCAGAAUUCAGUGAAUCAUCGAAUCUUUGAACGCACAUUGCGCCCGCCAGUAUUCCGGCGGGCAUGCCUGUCUGAGCGUCGUUUCGACCCUCGCGCCCGGCUUCUGUCGGGGGCGGUGUUGGGGAUCGGCCACACCCUUCAGUGGGAGGCCGGCCCCUAAAUUCAGUGGCGACCACGCUGUAGCCUCCCCUGCGUAGUACUAAAACCACCUCGCAGGCGGAGAGCGGUGCGGCCCGCCGUAAAACCCCCCAACUUUUACAAGGUCGACCUCAGAUCAGGUAGGAAUACCCGCUGAACUUAAGCAUAUCAAUAAGCGGAGGA